rnacentral:rRNA from 1 species
GACGAACGCUGGCGGCGUGCCUAAUACAUGCCAGUAGAACGCACAGUUUAUACCGUAGCUUGCUACACCAUAGACUGUGAGUUGCGAACGGGUGAGUAACGCGUAGGUAACCUGCCUGGCAGCGGGGGAUAACUAUUGGAAACGAUAGCUAAUACCGCAUAAUAUUAAUUAUUGCAUGAUAAUUAAUUGAAAGGUGCAAUUGCACCACUACCAGAUGGACCUGCGUUGUAUUAGCUAGUAGGUGAGGUAACGGCUCACCUAGGCGACGAUACAUAGCCGACCUGAGAGGGUGAUCGGCCACACUGGGACUGAGACACGGCCCAGACUCCUACGGGAGACAGCAGUAGGGAAUCUUCGGCAAUGGACGAAAGUCUGACCGAGCAACGCCGCGUGAGUGAAGAAGGUUUUCGGAUCGUAAAGCUCUGUUGUAAGAGAAGAACGGGUGUGAGAGUGGAAAGUUCACACUGUGACGGUAUCUUACCAGAAAGGGACGGCUAACUACGUG